GUGUCAGCAGCCGCGGUAAUACGUAGGUGGCAAGCGUUGUCCGGAUUUAUUGGGUUUAAAGGGUGCGUAGGCGGUUUUGUAAGUCAGUGGUGAAAUAUGUCAGCUUAACUGAGAGGGUGCCAUUGAUACUGCAGAACUUGAGUACAGAUGAGGUAGGCGGAAUUGACGGUGUAGCGGUGAAAUGCUUAGAUAUCGUCAAGAACACCUAUAGCGAAGGCAGCUUACUAGGCUGUAACUGACGCUGAGGCACGAAAGUGUGGGGAUCAAACAGGAUUAGAAACCCUAGUAGUCC
rnacentral:rRNA from 1 species